rnacentral:lncRNA from 1 species
UUUUUUUUUUUUUUUUUUUUUGUAAAUGCACAAUUCAGUAGCAUUUAAUACAUUCACACUGUUGUGCAACCGUUCCCACAAAUUUCGGAACAUUUCAUCACUACAAAAAGAAACCCCAUACCCAUGAGCAGUCACUCCACAUCCUCACCCCCAAGCCAACCCUGGGCAACCAUUCAUCCUUUCCUUCCUUUCAGGUAUGUAUCUAGAAUUGGAUGUUGGAUAUAUUGGAAUUGCUGAGCUAUAUGGCAAAUAUUAUGUUUAACUUUUUGAGACGUUGUCAAACUGUUUUUAUUUAUAUUUUUUAAAGAUUUAUUUAUUCAGAGAGAGAGAGACAGAGACACACAGAGGGAGAAGCAGGCUCCAUGCAGGGAGCCCGAUGUGGGACUCGAUCCUGGGUCUCCAGGAUCACACCCCGGGCUGCAGGCGACCCUAAACCACUGCGCCACCGGGGCUGCCCUGUCAAACUGUUUUUAAAAGAGACUGCACCACUCUACAUCCCCAUCAGCAAUGUAUGAGGGUUCCAAUUUCUACACUCUUGCCAGGACUUGUCAUUAUCCAUCUUUUUUAUUUUAGCCAUCCUAGUCGAUGUGAAGUGAUACCUCACACAUCAGCUUUUUCUACAUCACCUUUAAAGCCCAGCUCAAAUAUGACCACUACGGAACUACAUAACAUGCUCCAGGACAGUUUUAGUUACUCUCUUUUCUAUAGUACCAUCAUUUACCUAGCAGCACCAAUUCACUCAAUUACUGAGCACCUACUACAUGCCAAGCACUGUUUUAGGUGAAGAUAUAGUGAACAAAACACACACAUACAAAUCCCUGUGCCCUGUGGGGCUUAUAGUCUGGUGGAGAGGCAAACAAUAAAAAGUUAGUGAAAUGGUAGUAAGCAGUAUGGGGAAAUCUAAAACACAGCAGGGUAAGAGAACAUGCCAAUGGUACAGGGGUGGGGGGCAAUUCUAAAAUGAAAGUCUCACUGAAGUUACAGUUAAGCGUGAAUUAAAGUUUUUUGAACUCUCGGGACAUCCAUGAGAGAUGUCAAGUAGGCUUUGGAUAAUGAAUCUGGAGUCCAGAGAAUAGAGUCCAGGCAGAUAUAGUGGAGAUGAUGAAGAACCAGAACCUCAAAUUGAGGUGUGACUGCUAAACUAGGUGAAAACUCAAGAGUAUGAGGUCUGUCCUAGAAAGCAAAAAUCCGUUUUCUGUUGCAGCUGUAACAAAUGAACACAAACGUAGUGGUUUAGGACAUAAAUUCAUCACCCUGCUGUUCUAUAGAAGUCCCACAUGGGACCAAAAUUAAAGUAUUGGUAGGCGAGUUCCUCUUUGAGAGAUUGUAGGAGAGAAUGUUUCCUUGAUUUUUCCAAGUUCUAGAGGCCCUCUUCCUCUAUCUUUCAGCCAG